AAGAUGGAUGGAGACUUUUCUGAAUGGUUCUUCUAAAGAAACCCUAAAUGAGAAAGAUCCAAGAAAACAGGUUGUGUUUGUGUCUACUUAAGAAAGUGAUCAACUGUUCUGGCCCUUAGCCCUGACUCCUCCAAUAAUGAUCUGUGACCUGCAAGUGCUCUGUGGAAAGCCACUUUGAAUAAAUGCCGGAAUAUAAUUGAGUCUAAGUGGCUUCAAAGAUUCUGCCUAAUGGAACCCUUGGAAGUGGCAUAUUCAUGCAGACCCACAGCAGCGAAGGCUCUGGAGGAGCAAACUCAGUCUUCUCAGACAUUGCACAUAAACUCAGAGGAGAAACAGUGAAACACUGGGUUGAUUAUUUGUUAAAAAUGUGCCUUAAAACUCAA